rnacentral:rRNA from 1 species
CAAUAGCGUAUAUUAAAGUUGUUGCAGUUAAAAAGCUCGUAGUUGGAUUUGUGGCGUACGGUGUGUUCCGGGCACUUGUUGUCUGAGUAACCUGCUGUUGCCAUCCUUGGGUGGAACCUGUGUGGCAUUAGGUUGUCGUGCAGGGGAUGCCCAUCAUUUACUGUGAAAAAAUUAGAGUGUUCAAAGCAGGCUUAUGCCGUUGAAUAUAUUAGCAUGGAAUAAUGAGAUAGGACUUUUUUGCUAUUUUGUUGGUUUGCGCAAAGAGGUAAUGAUUAAUAGGGACAGUUGGGGGUAUUCGUAUUCCAUUGUCAGAGGUGACAUUCUUGGAUUUUUGGAAGACGAACUACUGCGAAAGCAUUUACCAAGGAUGUUUUCAUUAA